rnacentral:rRNA from 1 species
GGAUUAGGCAUGCAAGUCGAACGGUUCUAGCAAUAGGACAGUGGCGCACGGGUGAGUAACACGUAGCUAACCUGCCCUUCCGCGCGGGAUAACGUUCCGAAAGGAAUGCUAAUACCGCAUAAGCUCCCGCUUUGUAAAGGGGUGAGAGAAAAGGCGAAAGUCACGGAAGGAGGGGGCUGCGACCCAUCAGCUAGUUGGUGAGGUAAUGGCUUACCAAGGCGACGACGGGUAGGGGGCCUGAGAGGGUGGCCCCCCACACUGGGACUGAGACACGGCCCAGACUCCUACGGGAGGCAGCAGUGAGGAAUAUUGCACAAUGGGGGAAACCCUGAUGCAGCGACGCCGCGUGGGUGAUGAAGGUUUUCGGAUCGUAAAGCCCUUUUCUGCAUGACGAGAACGGACGGUAGUGCAGGAAUAAGUGUCGGCUAACUACGUGCCAGCAGCCGCGGUAAUA